rnacentral:lncRNA from 1 species
GGGUAGAGACGCUAGGCCGGCACUGCCUAGGUGGGCCGGGCGGUGCGAGGGUCGCCUUUCAGCCUUUACCUCUACCCACUGAAAUGGAGUAGGUCGGUGAGCGCCGAUCUGCUGGAGAAUCUCAUUAUCCCAUCGGCGCUCUGCCUGCUCCUGGCCUCCAAGCCUCUGAAGCCCCUCGGGUUUCAGCUGCCGGCUACCCUCGAGCCCGUGGUGCCCACGAGAGAGGCGACUUUACGUCAGCGGCCCUGGGCUGAGAUUUGAGAACGCGACCAAGUGGAGAAUGUUGGAGCCAGAUUUUAAAAUCCUUGUCUUCCUUCUGCGUGCUACUUGAUCUAAAUGAGAUACGGCAAAGUCACAGAACCUGUUUUUAUGUUUUUGCCUGAUUCAUACGGGCUUCUCCGGUGAAGAUGGGCCUGAAGUAACGCUUGGGUUGCUUCUGACGUUAUAACUCAUCCUGUAGCUGCAGCAACCGUGGUCCUUGCAACCUCAUAAAAAUGUUGCCAGCAUUGUUUCGAUAGUGCUGCUUAAUUCUUGGAAGGUUCUUCGGACUUCACACAUUCCAGCAGUAGCUCUCUCAGCUCCUGUCCUGCACAGCUUUGAAGUGCUGCGUCUUCAAAGUGUCUUCUGUAAAGACUUCUUCAGACUGUCAAUAGGAAGACUGAUAAACUCAGGUGUCUUUGUGAAGCUUCCUAUCUUUGCUUUUCAACUAAGAUGAAACAGCAUUUAAAAGAAAAUGCCAUGUGAGAUGAGAUCAGGAGAAUGGAUUCUUUCUUUCAUCUGAAUAGAGAGCUGCUGUUCGAGAUUCUAACUCAAAUAGCUCAAAGGACACCUUCUCCGGGAAACCUUCCCUGACUUCCGACGCUGUUUCCUGUUGGAUGUGGUCUUGGAAAAAUUGCUACUUUUUGAAGUCUUGAAGUCUCAAUUUCUUUACCUGCCCCCCCGCCCCAAAAGUCAUUGAAAUCUGUUGUGAAGAUGACAGGAAAUAAAGGGUAACCAGAACAUGAGUUCCACAGUAACUGGAACAUGAGAGGUAGAGCCAGAAGGGGCAUCUAUGUAAAUCAUUUGGAGUUUUUGCCUUUCCUCUUAGAAGAAAAAUAUGAAUGAUUUGACUGAACAGGCCUAUAGCCAAACCCAAGAUGAUCUUUCCAAGCGUGAACUCCAUCUUCAAACUUCUAGUGAGUCUGAGGCCGCAACUGGAAAAAUUUAGAAAUAAUUUCUAAUUCUUGAAAUCUUUGAAAUGUCAAAACAUUAAAACUUUAAGUUUUUGUAUCUUGUUUAAUGUUUAACAAUUUUCUGAAACUUUGGAAAUUAUGUAGGUAUUCUAUUUUGUUAGUUUGGCUUAGCAUAUAUAAAUAGAGCUAUGUCUACAUAUUAAUAGUAGUCUUGUUUUACCUUACCUUUGUUUUUUUGUUGUUGUUGUAUGCCAUCU